rnacentral:rRNA from 1 species
AUUGAACGCUGGCGGCAUGCCUUACACAUGCAAGUCGAACGGUAACAGGUCUUCGGAUGCUGACGAGUGGCGAACGGGCGAGUAAUACAUCGGAACGUGCCCGAUCGUGGGGGAUAACGAAGCGAAAGCUUUGCUAAUACCGCAUACGAUCUACGGAUGAAAGCAGGGGACCGCAAGGCCUUGCGCGAACGGAGCGGCCGAUGGCAGAUUAGGUAGUUGGUGGGAUAAAAGCUUACCAAGCCGACGAUCUGUAGCUGGUCUGAGAGGACGACCAGCCACACUGGGACUGAGACACGGCCCAGACUCCUACGGGAGGCAGCAGUGGGGAAUUUUGGACAAUGGGCGAAAGCCUGAUCCAGCCAUGCCGCGUGCAGGAUGAAGGCCUUCGGGUUGUAAACUGCUUUUGUACGGAACGAAAAGACUCUGGUUAAUACCUGGGGUCCAUGACGGUACCGGAAGAAUAAGCACCGGCUAACUACGUG